rnacentral:rRNA from 1 species
UACAUGUGGGGCAAGCGUUGUUCGGAAUUACUGGGCAUAAAGGGUGCGUAGGCGGCUUGUUAAGUCAGGGGUGAAAGUUUUCGGCCCAACCGGAAAAUUGCCUUUGAUACUGGCGAGCUCGAGUGCGUGAGGGGUAACCGGAACGAGCAGUGUAGCGGUGAAAUGCGUAGAUAUUGCUCGGAAGGCCAACGGCGAAGGCAGGUUACUGGUACGCAACUGAACGCUGAGGCACGAAAGCGUGGGGAGCAAACAGG